rnacentral:rRNA from 1 species
UACGAAGGGGACUAGCGUUGUUCGGAAUUACUGGGCGUAAAGCGCACGUAGGCGGAUUUGUUAGUCAGGGGUGAAAUCCCGGGGCUCAACCUCGGAACUGCCUUUGAUACUGCAAAUCUCGAGUCCGAUAGAGGUGGGUGGAAUUCCUAGUGUAGAGGUGAAAUUCGUAGAUAUUAGGAAGAACACCGGUGGCGAAGGCGGCCCACUGGAUCGGUACUGACGCUGAGGUGCGAAAGCGUGGGGAGCAAACAGGAUUAGAAACCCCCGUAGUCC